AACGAACGCUGGCGGCAGGCCUAACACACGCAAGUCGAACGGAUCCUUCGGGAUUAGUGGCGAACGGGUGAGUAACACGUGGGCAACCUGCCCCUGACUCUGGGAUAACGCUUCGAAAGAGGUGCUAAUACCGGAUACGAACUCCCACGGCAUCGUGGGAGUUGGAAAGUUUUUCGGUCAGGGAUGGGCCCGCGGCCUAUCAGCUUGUUGGUGAGGUAACGGCUCACCAAGGCGACGACGGGUAGCCGGCCUGAGAGGGCGACCGGCCACACUGAGACUGAGAAACGGCCCAGACUCCUACGGGAGGCAGCAGUGGGGAAUAUUGCGCAAUGGGCGAAAGCCUGACGCAGCAACGCCGCGUGAGGGAUGACGGCCUCCGGGUUGUAAACCUCUUUCAGCAGGGAGGAAGCGAAAGUGACGGUACCUGCAGAAGAAGCACCGGCUAACUACGUGCCAGCCGCCGCCGUAAUAC
rnacentral:rRNA from 1 species